rnacentral:rRNA from 1 species
CCUACGGGAGGCUGCAGUGAGGAAUAUUGGUCAAUGGACGAGAGUCUGAACCAGCCAAGUAGCGUGAAGGAUGACUGCCCUAUGGGUUGUAAACUUCUUUUAUAUGGGAAUAAAAUGUUCCACGUGUGGGAUUUUGUCUGUACCAUAUGAAUAAGGAUCGGCUAACUCCGUGCCAGCAGCCGCGGUAAUACGGAGGAUCCGAGCGUUAUCCGGAUUUAUUGGGUUUAAAGGGAGCGUAGGUGGAUUGUUAAGUCAGUUGUGAAAGUUUGCGGCUCAACCGUAAAAUUGCAGUUGAAACUGGCAGUCUUGAGUACAGUAGAGGUGGGCGGAAUUAGUGGUGUAGCGGUGAAAUGCUUAGAUAUCACGAAGAACUCUGAUUGCGAAGGCAGUUCACUGGACUGCAACUGACACUGAGGCUCGAAAGUGUGGGUAUCAAACAGGAUUAGAUACCCGGGUAGUC